rnacentral:rRNA from 1 species
GGCGAACGGGUGAGUAAUACUUGGGUAACGUACCUCCGAGAUCGGGACAACAGACCGAAAGGUUUGCUAAUACCGGAUAAGACCACAUCCUCCACGGAGGAAGGGGUCAAAGAUGGCGCAAGCUAUCACUUGGAGAUCGGCUCAAGCACCAUUAGCUAGUUGGCGGGGUAACGGCCCACCAAGGCUACGAUGGUUAGCCGACCUGAGAGGGUGAUCGGCCACACUGGGACUGAGAUACGGCCCAGACUCCUACGGGAGGCAGCAGUUUGGAAUAUUCCACAAUGGGCGAAAGCCUGAUGGAGCGACACCGCGUGGAGGAUGACGGUCUUCGGAUUGUAAACUCCUUUAGGCCUGGAUGAAGAUUCCAAGGUGAAUAAUCUUGGAAUUUGACAGUACAGGCAGAAUAAGCCACGGCUAACUCUGUGCCAGCAGCCGCGGUAAUACAGAGGUGGCUAACGUUAUCCGGAAUUACUGGGUGUAAAGGGUCCGCAGGCGGUCUUGUAAGUCAAAGGUGAAAUAAUCCGGCUCAACCGGGUUUCUGCCUUUGAUACUGCAGGACUUGAGUACGGAAGA